rnacentral:rRNA from 1 species
GUGGGGAAUUUUGGACAAUGGGGGCAACCCUGAUCCAGCAAUGCCGCGUGCAGGAAGAAGGCCUUCGGGUUGUAAACUGCUUUUGUACGGAACGAAAAGGCUCUGGUUAAUACCUGGGGCACAUGACGGUACCGUAAGAAUAAGCACCGGCUAACUACGUGCCAGCAGCCGCGGUAAUACGUAGGGUGCAAGCGUUAAUCGGAAUUACUGGGCGUAAAGCGUGCGCAGGCGGUGCUGUAAGACAGGCGUGAAAUCCCCGGGCUUAACCUGGGAAUGGCGCUUGUGACUGCAGUGCUGGAGUGUGGCAGAGGGGGAUGGAAUUCCGCGUGUAGCAGUGAAAUGCGUAGAUAUGCGGAGGAACACCGAUGGCGAAGGCAAUCCCCUGGGCCUGCACUGACGCUCAUGCACGAAAGCGUGGGGAGCAAACAGGAUUAGAAACCCUUGUAGUCC